GAUGAACGCUAGCGGCGGCCUAAUACAUGCAAGUCGAACGAGAUUAGAGAGCUUGCUCUCUAUGAAAGUGGCGCACGGGUGCGUAACGCGUAUGCAAUCUACCUUAAUCAGGGGGAUAGCCCGGAGAAAUCCGGAUUAAUACCGCAUAACAUUAUUGAAUGGCAUCAUUUAAUAUCAAACAUUUAUGGGAUUAAGAUGAG
rnacentral:rRNA from 1 species